rnacentral:sRNA from 1 species
ACACGGGAAGGAGGUGGUUCAAAGAAUGAGUAUUCGAAGGACACGUGAGGUGGCUGUCAGCUAGCGCCACCGCUGUAACGGAUUCCUGUUCGCGAGCGCGACGCUAAUCCAAAGCAGCCACCCGGCCCCCGAGCCCCCGGUUAGUCCGACCGGGACCCGCGUGAGAACUUGGUCUCCGUAGGUAUGGCUCGGGGGUCGUUCCUA